rnacentral:lncRNA from 10 species
GAGAGGUGGGCUGGGCUGCAGGUCCUGGCGUUGUGCUGGAUCAUCGCGCCCGUACUCUGAAGUUUUCUCCGUGGCGCUCUUUGAGAGGGGUUCCUCCUGCAUCUUGAGAAUAUUUUGCAUUUCGGCUCCCUUCUCUUCUCGCUGCCAUCGGAUGCCCCAAAUAGGUCCUGUCCCCUCGGUGAAUCAGACUUCGGAAACCGCCUCGCUUCAGGGUCAGAGUCCAAGUACAGAUGAGCUUGAGGAUUCUGAAUGCACGCCCGGCUCUAGACCUUACAGACACACGCUUGGACAGACUUCUCCAUAUACGACCCAGGAACGGACCCCUUGAGAAGGGAUUCUUCAAGCCCGCUGCCCUCUCCAGCGUCCUGGCCAGUGGCAUCGCGUUCCCAGGAAACCUCGCUUCAGAUAUUGCCCACCACCCCGCCCUAUUCACGGUUCCUGGGUCUUCCUGGAGGAAUGACAUCUCAGAGAAUGCGGACUCCUAUGUUCAUGUCAUUUGAGCCGCCGCGUCCCUUAUUUGAUGUACCCCUUGUUGGUCCCGGAGGAUGGCAACUAGACAAAAGGUCACAGGCCCCCACACCCGCUCCAUAACGGCUUCUUGGCUUUUUGUUUCUUUUAAGCAAUGAGGAAAGAGAUGACUUUCGUGAAAACUUUUGCUGGAGAAGAGAUCCUUCCCUCUGUAUAUGUGUGUGGGAUGGGAAGUGUCAGACUCAGACCUUUAGUUCCUUGAGAUCAAAAAGGUUUCGUGUUUGCUUUCGUCUCUUCUUUGCAUCCCUAGCGUCUUUAAAAGAGUAGGCAGGCGCGGUGGCACAUGCCUGUAAUCCCAGCACUUUGGGGGUCGAGGCGGGAGUAUCACUUGAACCUAGGAGUUGGAGACCAACCUGGGCAACAUAGUGAGACCUCCAUCUCUACAAAAAAUAAGAAAAUUAGCCCGGUGCCAGUGGUCCCAGCUAGC